rnacentral:rRNA from 1 species
GGGUAGAGCACUGUUUCGGCUAGGGGGCCAUCCCGGCUUACCAACCCGAUGCAAACUGCGAAUACCGGAGAAUGUUAUCACGGGAGACACACGGCGGGUGCUAACGUCCGUCGUGAAGAGGGAAACAACCCAGACCGCCAGCUAAGGUCCCAAAGUCAUGGUUAAGUGGGAAACGAUGUGGGAAGGCCCAGACAGCCAGGAUGUUGGCUUAGAAGCAGCCAUCAUUUAAAGAAAGCGUAAUAGCUCACUGGUCGAGUCGGCCUGCGCGGAAGAUGUAACGGGGCUAAACCAUGCACCGAAGCUGCGGCAGCGACACUCAGGUGUUGUUGGGUAGGGGAGCGUUCUGUAAGCCUGUGAAGGUGGCCUGUGAGGGUUGCUGGAGGUAUCAGAAGUGCGAAUGCUGACAUAAGUAACGAUAAAGCGGGUGAAAAGCCCGCUCGCCGGAAGACCAAGGGUUCCUGUCCAACGUUAAUCGGGGCAGGGUGAGUCGACCCCUAAGGCGAGGCCGAAAGGCGUAGUCGAUGGGAAACGGGUUAAUAUUCCCGUACUUGGUGUUACUGCGAAGGGGGGACGGAGAAGGCUAUGUUGGCCGGGCGACGGUUGUCCCGGUUUAAGCGUGUAGGUGUGUGUUCCAGGUAAAUCCGGUUCACUUUAACACUGAGGCGUGACGACGAGGCACUACGGUGCUGAAGCAACAAAUGCCCUGCUUCCAGGAAAAGCCUCUAAGCAUCAGGUAACAUCAAAUCGUACCCCAAACCGACACAGGUGGUCAGGUAGAGAAUACCAAGGCGCUUGAGAGAACUCGGGUGAAGGAACUAGGCAAAAUGGUGCCGUAACU